UGAAAUAUUACGAAGCCGAUGAUUUCACGCUGGCGAGAAAAGCUGCUAAGAUUAGUUGUGAGGUGCCCGUACCGCAAACCGACACAGGUAGACGAGGAGAGAAUCCUCAGACGAACGGGAUAACCAUUGUUAAGGAACUCGGCAAAAUGACCGCAUAACUUCGGGAGAAGCGGUGCCACCGGCAACGGUGGUCGCAGUGAAACGGCCCAAGCGACUGUUUACCAAAAACACAGGUCUCUGCAAACACGGAAGUGGAAGUAUAGGGGCUGACGCCUGCCCGGUGCUGGAAGGUCAAGAGGAUAGGUCAGGGGGUAACCCCAAAGCCUUGAAUUGAAGCCCCAGUGAACGGCGGCCGUAACUAUAACGGUCCUAAGGUAGCGAAAUUCCUUGUCGGGUAAGUUCCGACCCGCAUGAAUGGCGUAACGACUUGGGCACUGUCUCAACAGGGGACCCGGCGAAAUUGAAGUAUACGUGAAGAUGCGUAUUACCCGCGACUGGACGGAAAGACCCCAUAGAGCUUUACUGUAAAUUCAUAUUGUCUCCUUGAAACUGAUGUACAGGAUAGGUGGGACGCUGAGAAGCGUGGGCGUUAGCUUGCGUGGAGCGGUCCUUGGGAUACCACCCUUUGGUUUUUGAGAUUCUAACCGCAUGCCGUUAUCCGGGUGCGGGACAGUGUGUGAUGGACAGUUUGACUGGGGCGGUCGCCUCCUAAAGAGUAACGGAGGCGUACAAAGGUACCCUUGGCACGGUCGGAAAUCGUGCUGUAAGCGCAAUGGUAUAAGGGUGCUUUACUGUAAGACGUACAUGUCAAGCAGUUACGAAAGUAGGUCAUAGUGAUCCGGCGGUAGAGAAUGGAAUUGCCGUCGCUUAACGGAUAAAAGUUACCUUGGGGAUAACAGGCUGAUACCAUCCAAGCGUCCACAGCGACGAUGGUGUUUGGCACCUCGAUGUCGACUCGUCUCAUCCUGGGGCUGUAGCAGGUCCCAAGGGUUCGGCUGUUCGCCGAUUAAAGAGGCACGCGAGUUGGGUUCAAAACGUCGUGAGACAGUUUGGUCCCUAUCCUUCGUGGGCGUAAGAUAUUUGAGAGGCUCUGACCUUAGUACGAAAGGACCGGGUUGGACGUACCUACGGUGCACCUGUUGUCACGCCAGUGGCAUGGCAGGGUAGCCGAGUACGGAUGGGAUAAGUGCUGAAAGCAUCUAAGCGCGAAACCCACCUCAAGAUUAGAUAUCUCACCGCGCAAGCGGGUAAGAAUCGUUGCAGACAACAACGUUGAUAGGCCGGAGAUGUAAGCACAGUAAUGUGUUCAGUUGACCGGUACUAAUAAUUCGAGGGUUUGAUUUU
rnacentral:rRNA from 1 species